UGACCUCGGAUCAGACGUGAUUACCCGCUGAAUUUAAGCAUAUUAUUAAGCGAGGAAAAGAAACUAACAAGGAUUCCCCUAGUAACGGCGAGUGAACGGGGAAGAGCCCAAACCGAAUCCCUUGGCGCAAGUCAACGGGAAAUGUGGUGUUAAGGUAGCCCUUCGUGUCAGUCUAGGCGUCUCAGUCCACCUGAUUGUGGCUUCAAGCCCAGAGAGAGGUGUAAGGCCCGUAGAGACGCUCCGACUGAUUCCUGGGUUUACCUACGAGUCGGCUUGUUUGGGAAUGCAGGCCAAAGCGGGUGGUAAACUCCAUCCAAGGCUAAAUACUGGCACGAGUCGAUAGCGGACAAGUACCGUGAGGAAAGUUUGAAAAGAACUUUGAAGAGAGAGUUCAAUAGUACGUGAAACCGCUUAGAGGCAAACGGAUGGUGCUCAUACUGGCCUGAGGAAUUCAACUGUGACGGUGGCUGGACGAGCUGGCGUUCCGAUCUCUCUUUUGGGACGGGGUCGGUUUGGCUAUCAGCUCCGACAUGGUGCACUUUCCUUGGUGCCUCGCCCACGACCGACGACACUGGCUACCCGCGGCUGGGGUAAGGUGACAAACUGCUUCGGCAAUUUGUGUUAUAGACCCCGGCGUCGGACAUGGUUUGGCCAGGACGUCGAGCUUGCGGCGCCCGCUCCUUGUGGGCUCGCAUGUUGGCUAGCUUGGGCUGCGCCGAUGCUUGCCACUGGACAACAACAGUACAGGUGACGGUUGUGGUCUUGUCUCUAGUUGGCCUCUGCGAGUUUUGGCGCCUAUAGUCUGUGGUGUACUUGUGGGUAGACUAUCCGACCCGUCUUGAAACACGGACCAAGGAGUCUAACAUGUGCGCGAGUCAUGGGGAUUCUACGAAACCCAAAGGCGGCAGUGAAAGUAAAGGCCUGCUUCUCGUAGGCUGAGGUGGGAUCUCGGUGCAUCGCGAUUGGCGAGCGCACCACCGGCCCGUCCUAUCUGUCUCUGUCAGUGGGGCGGCGCAAGAGCGUACACGUUGGGACCCGAAAGAUGGUGAACUAUGCUUGCGCAGCUCGAAGUCAGUGGAAACACUGAUGAGGAGAGCGCAGCGUUCUGACGUGCAAAUCGAUCGUCAAACGUGAGUAUAGGCGGCGAAAGACUAAUCGAACCAUCUAGUAGCUGGUUCCCUCCGAAGUUUCCCUCAGGAUAGCUGGCACUCGGGAAACAGUUUUAUCCGGUAAGCGAAUGAUUAGAGGCAUUGGGGUCGAAACGACCUCGACCUAUUCUCAAACUUUAAAUGGGUAAGAUGCUCGUCUCGCUUAAUUGGAGGCGGGCUUCACCUCUCUAUAAACGUGAAUG
rnacentral:ncRNA from 1 species